UACGUAGGUGGCAAGCGUUAUCCGGAUUUAUUGGGUGUAAAGGGCGUGUAGGCGGGAGCGCAAGUCAGAUGUGAAAACUCAGGGCUCAACCCUGAGCCUGCAUUUGAAACUGUGUUUCUUGAGUGCUGGAGAGGCAAUCGGAAUUCCUAGUGUAGCGGUGAAAUGCGUAGAGAUUAGGAAGAACACCAGUGGCGAAGGCGAUUCUCUGGACUGUAACUGACGCUGAGGCUCGAAAGCGUGGGGAGCAAACAGG
rnacentral:rRNA from 1 species